GCCGCCAUGGUGAAAUUGGUAGACACAAGGGACUUAAAAUCCCUCGCCUUUUGGUGUGCCGGUUCGACCCCGGCUGGCGGCACCA
rnacentral:tRNA from 1 species